AUGUUCCCCGGGCCUCUACUUGGCUCCGCGGUUGGGUACUACAAACAACCUUGUAUACACCUUAAAAGGAGCCAAGAAAGAAUAAUCAAACUUUAGGCAGAGCUACAGAUGAUGUAAUCACAUUUGCGGAUAUGCGUGUUGCAAAGUAUAAUAAAGUCAUUGGCAGUGCAAAAAAAAAAGGAAGGAUUUGUUGAUGCAGCAGAUUUCAUGAUGAUGAGAUUCAAAUUUAUUGUGGUGACAAACAAGAAAUAAAGGGUACGGGAAAUCUACGCCGGUUCUUGUGAAGAUCCUUGCGGAUGGUGUCUACUACAAUGAGGUCGCCAUUCGUAGGUUUGCUUAGCGUAUGGACAAUGGCUCAUUUAGUGAUCCGCGUCUGCCAAUUAAAGAGAUGUAUUAAUCAUGCAGGAAAUUAAUUUUAGAGAUCACUGAUUUUUCAAUUAUCAGAUACUGAGUUCCCUUCAUUUCUGCAACCGCACUGAUGAUAAUAAAUGUUUGUUUAUAUUGCUUCAA